rnacentral:lncRNA from 1 species
CAUUUCUCAUAUUCUCACUUUCUGUUUUGAAAGAACCAUUUAAAAGGUGCUCUGUUUGUGCCAAAAUAUCUCUGAGGAUAUUUUGCUAUACAAUACAGCAAAGGUGUAUUGUAUACAGAGACUCUAAAGGUGGAGAAGCCGACUAAUAUAAUACUUCAGCUGAGUUUGGAAGUGGGACAGAAACCGUU